UUUAGGAAGAAUAGGGAGUAUAAUUUGUGUAUUGCCCAGGGUAGACUAGCCCCAGUCAUGUCCCAUGUCGUGUCCGACCUUAUCGACUUUUCGGUCAAAACUUUAAAUAGACCCCCCUCACA